GACGAACGCUGGCGGCGUGCUUAACACAUGCAAGUCGAGCGGUAAGGCCCUUUCGGGGGUACACGAGCGGCGAACGGGUGAGUAACACGUGGGUGACCUGCCCUCAGCUCUGGGAUAAGCCUGGGAAACCGGGUCUAAUACUGGAUAUGACUCCAUGACGCAUGUUGUGGGGUGGAAAGCCUUGUGCGGCUGAGGAUGGGCCCGCGGCCUAUCAGCUUGUUGGUGGGGUGAUGGCCUACCAAGGCGACGACGGGUAGCCGGCCUGAGAGGGCGGACGGACACACUGGGACUGAGACACGGCCCAGACUCCUACGGGAGGCAGCAGUGGGGAAUUGUUCGCAAUGGGCGCAAGCCUGACGACGCAACGCCGCGUGGAGGAUGAAGACCUCGGUCGUAAC
rnacentral:rRNA from 1 species